rnacentral:rRNA from 1 species
UACGUAGGGGGCAAGCGUUGUCCGGAUUUAUUGGGCGUAAAGAGCGUGUAGGCGGCCAAGCAGGUCAGCUGUGAAAACUCGAGGCUCAACCUCGAGAUGUCGAUGGAAACCGUCUGGCUAGAGUCCGGAAGAGGAGUGUGGAAUUCCUGGUGUAGCGGUGAAAUGCGCAGAUAUCAGGAAGAACACCUAUGGCGAAGGCAGCACUCUGGGACGGUACUGACGCUGAGACGCGAAAAGUGUGGGGAGCGAACAGG